rnacentral:lncRNA from 1 species
GAACAUAGAGAAUGGGUUCAUAGCUUACCUCUUAGGCGAAUUCCUCUUGAUUUAAUUUGUUAGAGACUCACUCCUUGCUUGCUUAGACUCUCCAACAUCUCCAGAAAUCACCAUAACAUCUAUUACUCUCAAUUUCUCUUUCUUUUUGUAUCUUGGUGGAAUUUUUGCAAAGUGAAACAUUUUUUUGUUGGGUGUAUAUAUAUAUAACUUGAUAGAGCUGCUCUCUCCAGCCCCUUCACCACUCCCAUCAUCAGUUACAUGCAUAAUUAUCCCACUUGAAUAUAGUUAUGGGGGGGG